rnacentral:rRNA from 1 species
GAUGAACGCUGGCGGCGUGCCUAAUACAUGCAAGUCGAGCGAACGGACGAGAAGCUUGCUUCUCUGAUGUUAGCGGCGGACGGGUGAGUAACACGUGGAUAACCUACCUAUAAGACUGGGAUAACUACGGGAAACCGUAGCUAAUACCGGAUAAUAUUUUGAACCGCAUGGGUCAAAAGUGAAAGACGGUCUUGCUGUCACUUAUAGAUGGAUCCGCGCUGCAUUAGCUAGUUGGUAAGGUAACGGCUUACCAAGGCAAGGAUGCAUAGACGACCUGAGAGGGUGGUCGCCCACCUUGGAACUGAGACACGGCCCAGACUCCUACGGUAGGACGCAGUAGGGAAUCUUCCGCAAUGGGCGAGAGCCUGACACAGCAACGCCGCGUGAGUGAUGAAGGUCUUCUGAUCGGAAAGCUCUGUUAUUAGUGGAGAACAUAUGUGUAAGUAACUGUGCACAUCUUGACGGUACCUGAUCAGAAAGCCCCGGCUAACUACGUG